CAUAUCAAUAAGCGGAGGAAAAGAAACUAACAAGGAUUCCCCCUAGUAACUGCGAGUGAAGCGGGAAAAGCUCAAAUUUAAAAUCUGUCAGCCUUUGGCUGUCCGAGUUGUAAUCUAGAGAAGUGUUAUCCGCGCUGGACCGUGUACAAGUCUCCUGGAAUGGAGCGUCAUAGAGGGUGAGAAUCCCGUCUUUGACACGGACUGCCAGGGCUUUGUGAUGCGCUCUCAAAGAGUCGAGUUGUUUGGGAAUGCAGCUCAAAAUGGGUGGUAAAUUCCAUCUAAAGCUAAAUAUUGGCGAGAGACCGAUAGCGAACAAGUACCGUGAGGGAAAGAUGAAAAGAACUUUGGAAAGAGAGUUAAACAGUACGUGAAAUUGCUGAAAGGGAAACGCUUGAAGUCAGUCGCGUUGUCCAGGGAUCAACCUUGCUUUUGCUUGGUGUACUUUCUGGUUAACGGGUCAGCAUCAAUUUUGACUGUUGGAAAAAGAUCAGGGGAAUGUGGCAUCUUCGGAUGUGUUAUAGCCCUUGGUUGCAUACAAUGGUUGGGAUUGAGGAACUCAGCACGCCGCAAGGCCGGGUUUUAACCACGUACGUGCUUAGGAUGCUGGCAUAAUGGCUUUAAUCGACCCGUCUUGAAACACGGACCAAGGAGUCUAACAUGCCUGCGAGUGUUUGGGUGGAAAACCCGAGCGCGUAAUGAAAGUGAAAGUUGAGAUCCUUGUCAUGGGGAGCAUCGACGCCCGGACCAGACCUUUUGUGACGGUUCCGCGGUAGAGCAUGUAUGUUGGGACCCGAAAGAUGGUGAACUAUGCCUGAAUAGGGUGAAGCCAGAGGAAACUCUGGUGGAGGCUCGUAGCGAUUCUGACGUGCAAAUCGAUCGUCAAAUUUGGGUAUAGGGGCGAAAGACUAAUCGAACCAUCUAGUAGCUGGUUCCUGCC
rnacentral:rRNA from 1 species